CCGAAAGGCAGGAGUGCCUGCAAGGGAGCGCGGAGACAGGUGGUGCAUGGCUGUCGUCAGCUCGUGUCGUGAGAUGUUGGGUUAAGUCCCGCAACGAGCGCAACCCUCACCUCUUGUUGCCAUCAGGUCAUGCUGGGCACUCUAGAGGAACUGCCCCGGUCAACGGGGAGGAAGGCGGGGAUGACGUCAAGUCAUCAUGCCCCUUACGUCCUGGGCUACACACGUGCUACAAUGGCCGGUACAAAGGGAUGCCACACCGCGAGGUAGAGCUAAACCCAAAAAGCCGGUCUAAGUUCGGAUUGGAGUCUGCAACUCGACUCCAUGAAGGAGAAAUCGCUAGUAAUCGCGUAUCAGCACGACGCGGUGAAUACGUUCCCGGGCCUUGUACACACCGCCCGUCACACCACGAAAGCCAG
rnacentral:rRNA from 1 species